AAACUGGCAAGUCUAUGGAGCAACUCCUGGGAGAGAGAAGCAGAGAAUCUCUUUCUUCCUUUUCCUUUUCAGAUCAUACCGUCUAUCAAGUUUUCCUAGCAAAGAUACAGCAGUGGUUCAUCGUGUGCUUCUCCAGUGGUUUAAGGCAAAUAGAGAGACUUGCCCAGGAUCACACAUCUAGGGAAAGAAACCAUUGUCUACCCCAUUUUCACCCAGCCUUAGUCACUGAAUGGGAAUUGCAUCAGUAAAACUGUGAUCUAGGAAAAACCUAAAAGGCCAAGACCUCCCACUACAUGCAGGGCCAUCUCCAUCAUCCUGAUUCUUAUCUGGCCAUUGGACCCAGAUGGCUCCGGAGGGGAAAGUGAGGCAGGUGACCUCACCCAGCUCUCCCUUACUGAAAUCCAGUUCACUUGCAGAUCAUGACAUCACCUCCCGAUGUCCUCUUCCAGAAAGACAGACACACAACAAAAACAACAAAGCUAUUGCAACUACUUUGCAUUUCUUCCUCUGAAGACUGGCCAUACUGGAUUUCCUUCUUGUCUCUGCACAACCACUGCUGCUAUGGCAAAAAGAAUGUAGGACUGGAAAGCCAAGGACAAAAAUAGCAAAGAGAAGGCAGAAGUUAACAUUUUAAUCUAGAAGCCUUAAAUAUCAAAAUCCAACACUCUCACUACUAUGGACCCAUUUCCCAGGGUUGUUAUGAGGAAAGUGAUCUCUAGGAAAAGAGGAAGAAAUAAGCAUUUCUCCAGUGCCAGGUACUAGACUAAUUGCUUCACUGAUAUCUCAUUUGGUCCUCACAACAACCCUGGGAGUGAGGUACUAUUAUUAUUUCCAUUUUACAGUUGAGGAAACUGAGGCAGAAGGAAAUUAAGUGACUUGCCCAGAAUCACACAGCUGGAUUUUAAAUUCAAGCCAUCCUGGCUUGAAGCUCAGCACUCAACCUCAACUGCCCUUUACCCUUACCACAUGUCAUCCUGCUUCCUUCUACCUUUUCAUACUUUUAAAUUUUUUUCCUCUUCCUUCUCUCCAUUGUAGGACCCUAUAAGGCAAGUGAACUCAUGUCAAAUCACUAACAGGUCAUUGCUGACCUCUGAGACACUUGGUCAGUACCAGAAAACAGGAAGAUUAGAGAAUUGUUUUAUUAAAAAAAAAAAAAAAAAAAAAAAGUAGAAAUCUCUGGAAUAGAUCCAAGUCUGAGACUUCGGAGGUGUUUUAGGUCUGGGUUUAAGGAAAUAACAUGGCAUCACCUACUCAUUACUCUGAGUCAGACAAGAUUUGGAUUCAAAUCCUAACACACUGACUAUGUCUAGGAUUUAAUAAUACAUCUCUUCAUCUCUCUGAGCCCCACUUAACUAGAAAUGAUAACUACCAUGCUAGGUUAUUAUUUUGAACACUGAUUCCAUAUCACGAGCACAAACAUUUAUAUAUGUACUUAUUGUCUAUCUGGAUAGAAUAUAAACUCCUUAGGAGCAGCAAUGACUUCAUUUGGAAUCUAGCACAUUGUAGGUGCUUAAUAAAUGCUUGUUAUUUGAAUGAGUGAUUG